rnacentral:rRNA from 1 species
AGAGUUUGAUCCUGGCUCAGGAUGAACGCUAGCGACAGGCUUAACACAUGCAAGUCGAGGGGCAGCGCGGUGGUGGCAACACCACCGGCGGCGACCGGCGCACGGGUGAGUAACACGUAUGCAACCUGCCCUCCACAGGGGGAUAAUCGGGAGAAAUCCCGUCUAAUACCGCAUAACGCCAACCGGGGGCAUCCCCGGUUGGCCAAAGGAGCGAUCCGGUGGGGGCUGGGCAUGCGCCGCAUUAGCCAGUUGGCGGGGUAACGGCCCACCAAGGCGACGAUGCGUAGGGGUUCUGAGAGGAAGGUCCCCCACACUGGUACUGAGACACGGACCAGACUCCUACGGGAGGCAGCAGUGAGGAAUAUUGGUCAAUGGGCGGAAGCCUGAACCAGCCAAGUCGCGUGAGGGAAGACGGUCCUAUGGAUUGUAAACCUCUUUUGUCGGGGAGCAAGGGGCGCCACGAGUGGCGCCAAGCGAGAGUACCCGAAGAAAAAGCAUCGGCUAACUCCGUGCCAGCAGCCGCGGUAAUACGGAGGAUGCGAGCGUUAUCCGGAUUUAUUGGGUUUAAAGGGUGCGUAGGCGGGACGCCAAGUCAGCGGUAAAAUGUCGGGGCUCAACCCCGUUGUGCCGUUGAAACUGGCGUUCUUGAGUGGGCGAGAAGUAUGCGGAAUGCGUGGUGUAGCGGUGAAAUGCAUAGAUAUCACGCAGAACUCCGAUUGCGAAGGCAGCAUACCGGCGCCCUACUGACGCUGAAGCACGAAAGCGUGGGCAUCAAACAGGAUUAGAUACCCUGGUAGUCCACGCAGUAAACGAUGAA